GGAUAGCUCAGUUGGUUAGAGCGUGAUACUGACAAUGUCAAGGUUGCAGGUUCAAUCCCCAUAUGGGACA
rnacentral:tRNA from 1 species